CUUUCCCCUUUUUCUCCUCCCCUAUAGACUAUGGAUGCUGGAAUGCUUCGUAGUUGAAAGGUCCGCCGCUGUAGGAUGGGUCUGCGGCCGAUUAGGUUGUUGUUGGGGUAACGGCCCAACAAGCCUGUAAUCGGUACGGGUUGUGGGAGCAAGAGCCCGGAGAUGGAUUCUGAGACACGAAUCCAGGCCCUACGGGGCGCAGCAGGCGCGAAAACUUUACAAUGCGGGAAACCGUGAUAAGGGAACUCUGAGUGCCCGUAAAAUCGGGCUGUCCAUCAGUUUAAAUAACUGGUGAAGAAAGGGCCGGGCAAGACCGGUGCCAGCCGCCGCGGUAAUA
rnacentral:rRNA from 1 species